GAUGAACGCUGGCGGCGUGCCUAAUACAUGCAAGUCGAGCGAACAGACGAGGAGCUUGCUCCUCUGACGUUAGCGGCGGACGGGUGAGUAACACGUGGAUAACCUACCUAUAAGACUGGGAUAACUUCGGGAAACCGGAGCUAAUACCGGAUAAUAUAUUGAACCGCAUGGUUCAAUAGUGAAAGACGGUUUUGCUGUCACUUAUAGAUGGAUCCGCGCCGCAUUAGCUAGUUGGUAAGGUAACGGCUUACCAAGGCAACGAUGCGUAGCCGACCUGAGAGGGUGAUCGCCCACACUGGAACUGAGACACGGUCCAGGCUCCUACGGGAGGCAGCAGUAGGGAAUCUUACGCAAUGGGCGAAAGCCUGACGGGCGAACGCCGCGUGAAUAAUGAAGGUCUUCGGAUCGUAAAACUCUGUUAUUAGGAAAGAACAAAUGUGUAAGUAACUAUGCACGUAAUGACGGUACCUAAUCAGAAAGCCAAGGCUAACUACGUG
rnacentral:rRNA from 1 species